rnacentral:rRNA from 1 species
AUUAGAGUUUGAUCAUGGCUCAGAACGAACGUUAGCGGUGUGGAUUAGGCAUGCAAGUCGUGCGCGAAAGCCUUCGGGCGAGUAAAGCGGCGAAAGGGUGAGUAACACGUAACCAACGUACCCUUCAGAUCGGGAUAACCUCUGGAAACGGUGGAUAAUACCGAAUGGUCCCGCGGGAGACAUCUCCUGGGAGGUAAACGGCGGCUUCGGCUGCUGCUGAGGGAGCGGGUUGCGGCCUAUCAGCUUGUUGGUGGGGUAACGGCCUACCAAGGCUUCGACGGGUAGCGGGUCUGAGAGGAUGAUCCGUCACACUGGGACUGAGACACUGCCCAGACUCCUACGGGAGGCUGCAGUCGAGAAUCUUCCGCAAUGGGCGAAAGCCUGACGGAGCGACACCGCGUGCAGGAUGAAGGCCUUCGGGUUGUAAACUGCUGUCACGCUAUAGGAACGGCGUAGUAUUAAUAGUGCUGCGAUUGACUAAAGCGAGAGGAAGAGCCGGCUAACUACGUGCCAGCAGCCGCGGUAAUACGUAGGGCUCUAACGUUGUUCGGAUUUACUGGGCAUAAAGCGUACGUAGGCGGCCUGUUUAGUCAGGUGUGAAAGCCCUCGGCUCAACCGGGGAAUUGCAUCUGAAACUGGCAGGCUAGAGGACAGCAGGGGUAAGUGGAACUCCAGGUGGAACGGUGAAAUGUGUAGAUAUCUGGAGGAACACCGGUGGCGAAAGCGGCUUACUGGGCUGUCUCUGACGCUGAGGUACGAAAGCUAGGGUAGCGAACGGGAUUAGAUACCCCGGUAGUCCUAGCCGUAAACGAUGGGCACUAGGCAAUGGGCCCUAUGGAACUCAUUGCCGUAGCUAAUGUGUUAAGUGCCCCGCCUGGGGAGUACGCUCGCAAGGGUAAAACUCAAAGGAAUUGACGGGGGAUCACACAAGCGGUGGAGCAUGUGGUUUAAUUCGAAGCAACGCGAACGAAGAACCUUACCUGGGCUUGACAUGUAUGUGGUAUCAAACCGAAAGGGGCGAGACCUACUUUGUAGGAGCAUACACAGGUAUUGCACGGCUGUCGUCAGCUCGUGUCGUGAGAUGUUGGGUUAAGUCCCGUAACGAGCGCAACCCCUAUUGUUAGUUGCUAACAGGUAAUGCUGAGGACUCUAGCGAGACUGCCGGUGUUAAACCGGAGGAAGGCGGGGACGACGUCAAGUCAUCAUGGUCCUUACGCCCAGGGCUACAAACGUGCUACAAUGGCAGGUACAAAGGGAAGCAAGAUCGUGAGAUGGAGCAAACCCCAAAAAGCCUGCCCCAGUUCGGAUUGGAGGCUGAAACUCGCCUCCAUGAAGUUGGAAUCGCUAGUAAUCGCAGAUCAGCCAUGCUGCGGUGAAUGUGUUCCUGAGCCUUGUACACACCGCCCGU